rnacentral:rRNA from 1 species
AGCGAACGCUGGCGGCAGGCCUAACACAUGCAAGUCGAACGAACCUUUCGGGGUUAGUGGCGGACGGGUGAGUAACACGUGGUAACGUGCCUUUAGGUUCGGAAUAACUCAGGGAAACUUGUGCUAAUACCGAAUGUGCCCUUCGGGGGAAAGAUUUAUCGCCUUUAGAGCGGCCCGCGUCUGAUUAGCUAGUUGGUUGAGGUAAUGGCUCACCAAGGCGACGAUCAGUAGCUGGUCUGAGAGGAUGAUCAGCCACAUUGGGACUGAGACACGGCCCAAACUCCUACGGGAGGCAGCAGUGGGGAAUCUUGCGCAAUGGGCGAGAGCCUGACGCAGCCAUGCCGCGUGAAUGAUGAAGGUCUUAGGAUUGUAAAAUUCUUUCAACGGGGACGAUAAUGACGGUACCCGGAGAAGAAGCCCCGGCUAACUUCGUG